rnacentral:rRNA from 1 species
UACGAACCGUCCAAACGUUAUUCGGAAUUACUGGGCUUAAAGGGUUUGUAGGCGGCCUUGUAAGUCAGGUGUGAAAUCCCUCGGCUCAACCGAGGAAUGGCGCUUGAUACUGCACGGCUUGAGGGAGACAGGGGUAAGCGGAACUGAUGGUGGAGCGGUGAAAUGCGUUGAUAUCAUCAGGAACACCGGUGGCGAAAGCGGCUUACUGGGUCUCUUCUGACGCUGAGGAACGAAAGCUAGGGUAGCGAACGGG